rnacentral:lncRNA from 1 species
UAUAAUAAAGGGCUGACCCAAAAUAAAUAUGAUUUAGACAUGAUGUUUUUUAUCAAUUAAUCACUUUAACCUCUUUAUGCGGUGCUAUAUUGCUAGGACAGUAGAUCAUGAUAGUUUGACAAAUUUUGGUUGUGAUAAAGGAGGACUUUCUCAUUAUUUACCACAGUUUUUUCUAGUAUUUUAUGUCAACAUCUGUCGAUAUUGUUAGGACUUCUUAAUCAAUCUUCAGAGAUUUUUUUUUUUCCGAUGUUGCUUGUGGGGCUAGCAUACUGUAGACUGGCUCUUGCAAGUUUCUGUUGACUGAAUUCAAUUUGAUAGUCCUUUUUUUUUUUUGCUUUUGCUGUGUUGCCAUGUAAGGUAAUUUCUAACAUGGGUUGAGAAGCUUCCUUGGUGGUUCUGGAUGCAUUAAUGCAGAACAUGCAAUGAGAUGAAGAUAGCAUGAUAUUAAUGCAUUGUAAGAUUUACUAAUCAGAUUAUUUUGGGAACCUGGGGUUUUGACUACAGGUACAUCCCCACGCCAUGUGAAAAGGAGACCGAAGAAGGCAACAGCACAGUCGGAUGAUGAAGAAUGAUGUUCUGUACCCAACAAAGUUGAAAUUGGGGUAAACAGAAUUCCGUAGGAUGCAGUUAUGUAUUAUGUUCUUUCAAACUUACAUUAGUCUUGCUCGAGCACUAGCUGACCUUAGCAUGCAUGUCGAUAUGUUCAAUUGUUCAUGUCUAUCUGGGUAUGUUUGCAGACAAUGCGUUGCAAUUUUUAUUAAUGUUGGACAGGUUGAAUUUUUUCGGGUCAAGUGGGUUUGCUGAUUUCAGGUACUCAUCAUUAGUAAUGCCUAUUAUUUAACGUUUUCUAUUUUCAUGUACAGGCUUGGAUGCAUUGUAGAUAACUAUUGUGCCCAACUGGGAGUGAUGUAAGGUGGAGCUGGUUGAGGGAACCUGGAAGUACAGGCCAUCACUGCGUCCCUGCUGAGCUUCUUGUG